CCAGAAUUUGAGUUCUUGCUCAGCGACAUGGAAUGUAUGAAGCAAGGGCCUGGCUAAACAGCUUUAUAUAAUACGACCGAGUAAAGUAGGGUAGUACCAACAAAGAAUUUGACUAAGCCUUUGGAGCUUCUUGUCCUGACCAAGUUCACCUGUAGUGAGGAGAGAACAGCCAUUCAUGGAUCACUCAGGUGGUGACAAGGCGACGAGAUACAACAGCAUAUGGCAGAAUGAUCCUGGAAUGAAGGAGAAACACUCAGCAGGAACCCCAAAGAUGACUAGGGAUAUAGGCAAGGACUGUGGCUUAUUAAGGAUUAUGGUCAUCAGUGCAUGCAGAUGAGGAAACUGAGGCUGACAGACAAUAAGUGGUUUGCUCCAGCACAUGCAGAAAGGAAACGACAAAUCCAGGACUGGAGCACAGACCUCCCCUGCUGCAUUCGGCCUGCUUCUUCAGGGGCUCGUGGCUGCUUCUAAUCUGAACAUCAGAUCAUUCAACAAAUCUGAGAUUCCCCGUGAACAAAAGCUAAUACAACAUCUAUCUUUCUAUAAAUCAUGAUAGUUCCUGGUUCUUGGGAUCAAUUUCAUGAAGCUAUAGCAAAAUUGUCAGCAUUUUAAGUUUUUAGAACUUAAUCCUCUUCCCUGUAGAAUGGACUUGGGAGCCAGACUCAGGGAAUUAUUUGGGUUCAUAGAGUAAGGCUC
rnacentral:lncRNA from 1 species